UUAACUGAAAUUUGUAUGGAGUAGUAAUGUUUGCCUACAUUUGCCGCUAGGGGCGCUGUUCUAACUCCAUACAAAUUUGAGUUA
rfam:Bombyx mori DNA, contig: Bm_scaf58_contig28302, strain: p50T/Dazao, build 2, whole genome shotgun sequence.